ensembl:snRNA U6 U6 spliceosomal RNA
CCAUGUAGAAAUGAUCAUUGAAAUGCUUGCUUUGGAAUCACAUAGAUUAGCAUGGCCCCUGCACAAGGAUUACAUUUAUUUGUGAAACAUUUCAAAUUUUU